rnacentral:rRNA from 1 species
UGAGGAAUAUUGGUCAAUGGGCGAGAGCCUGAACCAGCCAAGUCGCGUGAGGGAUGAAUGGUCUAUGGCCUGUAAACCUCUUUUGUCAAGGAAGAAUAAAUCGCACGGGUGCGAUCUUGCCAGUACUUGACGAAUAAGCAUCGGCUAACUCCGUGCCAGCAGCCGCGGUAAUACGGGGGAUGCGAGCGUUAUCCGGAUUUAUUGGGUUUAAAGGGCGCGUAGGCGGGACGUCAAGUCAGCGGUAAAAGACUGCAGCUAAACUGUAGCACGCCGUUGAAACUGGCGCCCUCGAGACGAGACGAGGGAGGCGGAACAAGUGAAGUAGCGGUGAAAUGCAUAGAUAUCACUUGGAACCCCGAUAGCGAAGGCAGCUUCCCAGGCUCGAUCUGACGCUGAUGCGCGAGAGCGUGGGUAGCGAACAGG